UACGUAGGGGGCUAGCGUUGCUCGGAAUCACUGGGCGUAAAGCGCACGUAGGCGGUUUGCUAAGUCAGGGGUGAAAUCCUGGAGCUCAACUCCAGAACUGCCUUUGAUACUGGCGAUCUUGAGUCCGGGAGAGGUGAGUGGAACUGCGAGUGUAGAGGUGAAAUUCGUAGAUAUUCGCAAGAACACCAGUGGCGAAGGCGGCUCACUGGCCCGGUACUGACGCUGAGGUGCGAAAGCGUGGGGAGCAAACAGG
rnacentral:rRNA from 1 species